CUGUAAAAUGGCCAUAAAGAGUCUUUGUACAUAUUUACAGUAAUAGACUUUAAGUGAAUUAUGGUACGAAGUAAUUCUGGGAUAUUACCCAAUAAUAAUUGAGAUCUAUUUAAAUAUGGGCCCAAGCUAUUAAAUGAAAUAUUAUGUUGAGUUGGAAGAAUUCUAUUUAAGACACAACUAUUAUCUGAUGCUAUUAUCUUAAGGCAAAAGCGUUCAGCUAUUUGAAAUCUUCUGAAAUGCAGAGGGGGAAUGCAGGUUUCACAUUGCAUAGCAUUAAUGGGGGUAGAGCACAUAGCACCAGAAAUUAUUCUUAAUGCUUUAUUUUGUAUGAUAUCCAAUUUCUUUAAGGUAGUAAUAUUUGCAUUCAUAUAAGCUAAUGAGCUGUAGUCAAAGUGACUACGAACUAUGCUUUUGUAUAACAUUGAUAAUAUCUUUGGGUCAGAUCCCCAAUGAACUCCAGCAAGAGAUUUCAAUAUAUUGAGUCCUUUACAAGCAUUUUUAAUUAUAUAAUUAAUAUGAGGUUGAAAUGUUAGUCUUUGAUCCAACCAUAUCCCUAAAAAUUUCUUAUCUUCUAACCAUGGUAAUGGACAAUUAUUAUAAAUAACUCUAGAGUUACAUAUGGUAUGUUUUUUACUAAAUAGCAUGACUCCACUUUUAUUAGGACUUAUGUUCAACUUGAGUUUUCCAAAAUAGAAAGAAUGGACCUGUUCAAGGGCAUCAUUUAAGUUAUUUACAGCUAUAUUUACAUUUCUAUUUACAGUGUAUAUUAACAAAUCAUCGGCAAACUGCAAAAAUUUUACAUUUGUUAGGAUAUGACCUGGAAUGCCUAUUUCGGACAGGAUUUGUAUUAGUACAGAUGGAUUAACAUUAUCGAAGGCACCUUGGACAUCAAGAAAUGCACAAACAGUUGCUGAGUGACCAUGAAAGGAAUUCUUAAUGUCUUCUACAAGAGAAGUGAAACUUUCUGCAGCACUACGCCCCUUUCGAAAUCCAAAUUGUUGUUCAGGAGGAGAUUGAGGUGCAUAUUUAUCCAGAAAAGAGGGGAUCCACUCAUCAUUUUUGGGUGUUUUGGAUAAGAACUUCAGCCAGUCAGCUUUGCUGUACACAAAACGAUCAAUGGGACUACCUAUUUCAUAUUUAUGUACUGAAGUCUGUAUAUCAAUAAUAGUGGGAAAGUGAUAGCUGCCCAUGGAGUCAUCAUGAACUCUCCAGUGGCAGAGUGAAGCUAAGGAUGGACUUAUGCAGGAUAUAUCUAUUGCUGAGGGAUUUUUAUUAGGGCUACCUACUGUGGUUGGAGUUCCAGUAUUUAGAAUACAUAAGUCGUAUUCAUCUAUAAUAUUGUAUAUCUCACUACCUCUGGAGUUAGUGGAAAGGCAACCAAAGGCAACAUGAUGUGCAUU